ensembl:processed_transcript uncharacterized LOC110297540
CUUUCGGAGCUGUGCGGCGCGCUGAGCAGGAAUGGCAAUGUGGACCUCUGAUGGAACAUCUGGUGGGAUCUCACAGUCAGUUCUGUGGCAAAGGAGGAUGAAGACUUAAAGAGGACUCAACAGGAAGCUGGAUAACAGAAAGAGAGCAAUGUAAGCAGUUUUUUGUGUGCAUGUGGUCCCAUUACAAGGAAUACUCAAUGGCAAGUGAGCACUAAAGAUCCCUCAACCCACACGUUGAAUGUAGAGUUCCCUGAAAGCAAUUGUAGAGGAGUGGGUGGGAGAUCUGAAGUCAGGGCAUUGCUUCUUCUAGGUAUCUGAGGAGGAUGGUUUUUGAUAUCUGUGGGAGCUAGUGGUCCAACACAGGGUUUAUAAUUGUCAUUUAGGUCACAUUUGGUGGACUCUGGUUCCCCCAUCUUAAGUGCUGAGUCAGCGGCCUAACAGGGCAGCUUUAACUGUUUGUUUGUUGUAGGUGCUAGAAUAGAAGACCAGAAAAUGAAAGAUAUGAAAAAAAGGUGGAGUUUAAGGCUGGAUAUACAGCUUGAAAAGUAAGUAUUGAAAAACACUUGAAUCUAGGUCAGUGCAAAGGGACAUGCAGAGACUUUAAAUCAUCAAAACUCCAUGCAUUGUCUUAUGGAUGUUUAGAUAGGUGUAUUUUGGACAACACAGGGUUCUUGUAAUGAUGUUGAUCAAAUGUCUGAGCUGAAAAUAACUUGUAGACAAUUUUUAACCCUGAAGAACCCUGUG